CAAUACCUCCUCGUGAGAACUAACAUGUUCCCUCCCUACCUUCUGUUAUUGAACGUGGGUGGAUCUCUGCCUUUAAUUAGAGACACAGAAACGUUGGAAGCAUCAGCCGCAAAUAGCACUAUAACGGCACUCAUCCUUUUUUUAACAACAACUAUUUAUUCCCCUCGGUCCUAUUCUGAAUUUUUAUUUCGAAGUAAAGAAGUCCCUACUUGAUCCAAAGGACAGCCUUCGCUUCGGAAAGCAGCAGGUACGAUUAGCCUGAGAGCUUGGUGUUAAUAAAUCGAAAUCUGACAGGCUGCAGAUCAACAAGGGGCUUUGGCAUCCCAACAUGAGAGCAGGGUUAUAAGUAUCAUUCAGACACCAGUCUUCUGAGAUGGCAAAGACCAGUGAUGAAAAGACCAGUGAUGUUUCUCCACUCCUUUCAGAAGAUAUUAACUGCAACGCCUGUGAAGGCAUGAAGAGCAACACUGAGAAAACAUGCACAUGCACACAGGAUAAUCUCAGUGUCCCAGUUGUGCAUUUGCAUGGCUAGGGGAAACAACAAAACAAGAAAGCAACCCUAAGGAGACAGAGUGAGUGACUGAGUAGGUCCUAGCUGCCUGCUGAGGCCACCCUCCAAAGCCACUUCUGGGGCUGGAGAAGCAAGAUGCAAUGCCUCGGCAGUUGUUGGACUUUUGAAACAGAGAACGGUCCUCCCAGUUUUCCUGCUUCACUGAUCUCAGAUUCUGUUAAAUAUGCGCUACCUGUGAUCCUCAGAAAUGUAAGAAGGUACUAAAAUAAAUUAGAAAAUAAAGAUGUAAGCUUAAAAAAGUGAGAGUGCAUUCUCAUACUAAUGGUAUUAAUAGCAUUAGGCUGCCGUUGGUGUCAUGUUUCAUUCUCUAGGUAGCCUUCCAUCACUGUCAUGCUUUGUGAGUACUUUUUCCGUGGUUGGUUUCUGCUUUUUCUGCUUCUCAUGAGUGAACACACAUAAAAAUGAGUUAUUCACAAAAAACAUGGAGGUUCUGAUAGCCUCAUUUAGCUCUACGAUUAUGCCAUAAGGUAAGUAUGGGAUCAGUAAACCCUGCGGGUGUUAGGUAGAACCCCUAAUGAAGGUGGAUAAUAAUAUUUAUUGGCAUUUGUCAUAAGUGGAGCUAAAGACCUAUAUAGAAUGCAGGUGAGGAUUUACUUGGAAACCUAAAAGAUUAUAACACCUGUUAGUGAGAGCCAGUGGGACCCUGCAGUGUGCUCUGUGUGAUGUGAUGCGAUUGAGCAGCGUCCAAUCUGCUUUGGUUUUAGAUAGACUGUGGCUCCAUCAUCCACUUAUGUACACUGCUGAUAAAUACAACUGAAGGAUCUUAUCGCUGCCUUAAUCCUUCAUUCCCGUCGCCUGCUAUUAUCUCUUAUAUUUGUCACGCUUUGAUCCUAGGGAGGCUGGACAUUUUUUUUGGUUAAAGAAUUCUGGCUUAUUUUGUGUUUGCACACAUGUUCCCUGUAGGGCUUUAAUACCACCUCAUAGUAUUAUGACAGCAUAACUGAAGGAGAGGGGAUUCUGCUGAUCUGUGGAAUGCUCCCACAGAGCAAUAAUUGUACUUACAAUGUUAACUGUUUCUAACUUGGAAAUUACUUAAUGUAUUUCGUACUCACAAAUGGGGUAAAAAAAGAGAUAGUAUGGAAAUAUACAUUUUUCAUGACCUCAACAAAAUAAGAUUAUUAAAUUGUUCCCACAUUUAUUUCAGAUUAGUAGUAACCCAAAACACUGAAGGUUUUAAGUAGAGCAAUUAGCAUGGCAGAAGUGGCUAGAAGUUCAGACAGAAGAUUGCUUUAGUUGUAAGUGGUACUCAGGUUCUACUUUUCCUGAAUCACAUAAGGCACACAUUUGUUGGUGGAUCCUGUCUUAGAGAUUUUUGAAGUAAACUUACUAGUUCUGAAUUUUGUUCUGUAUCUGAGAAGAAUUGUUCUGUUUCAUCAUUCACUUUCUGUAAGUCAAUUUCUGACAAAAUGCAUCAGGCUAAUACGGUGCAGAGAAAGUUCACUGACUAACUCAUAAUCAGCUUCAAUUGUAAAUAUAUCCUAAGGACUGCAUUUUAACUAUAUAUAAUAGAAACCUGCCAUCAAGCUAAACAACCUGUGUAGAUUGAAAUCUUUCAGUUCUUCCAACAUCUCAAAAUUAACACACCCAUCUAGUGUUUAAAUACUAUAAAGAAGUGAAGGUAGCAGUAUGUAACGAUGCUCACCACAUCCUAGUCUUUCAAAUGCUGUUUCCAUAGAAAUGCAAAACAAAAGUUGUUCAGAUUUAUUUGUAUUUUUAAAAUCCCAUUCUUAUAACGGUACACUCAUCUCAUAUAUUUAUAUGUAGAUGAUCCUAUUCUGCAAGUUAUUUUCAGCAACAGCUGAUAAAUUGUACCUAAUAAAUAUCUUAUGCUUUUCACAGGUGAUCAUGAUGCACUUUACAGUGCCUUAGUUAAAAUUUUCUCUUCUGACAGAGCUUCAAAUUUGGUAAGCAGCAAGGAAUCAUCGAAUCAUAGAUUGGCCUGGGUUGGAAGGGAUCUUAAAGAUCAUCUAGUUCCAAACCCCCUGCCAUAGUCAGGGUUGCUACCCUGUAGAUUGGGUUGCCCAGGGCCCCAUACAAUAACAGCUCUUCUGCAAAGUUUGCCAAUGUCUCUGCAGUUUAUAAUAGUACUGGGAGUAUUUUCCAUUCUCAAAUCAGCUAUUGGAACAAUAAAGUAAUUUUGAGCUAUGCUGUUUCUUAACA